AUUGAACGCUGGCGGCAGGCCUAACACAUGCAAGUCGAGCGGAGCGUCGGACGGGUGAGAGAUGUCUGUGGAACUGCCUGAUGGAGGGGGGUAACUACUGGAAACGGUAGCUAAUACCGCGUACGAUACGAUAAGCCUCGGUCGGAUUAGAUAGUUGGUGGGGUAAAGGCCUACCACGGCGACGAUCCGUAACUGGUCUGAGAGGAUGAUCAGCCACACUGGAACUGAGACACGGUCCAGACUCCUACGGGAGGCAGCAGUGGGGAAUAUUGGACAAUGGGCGAAAGCCUGAUCCAGCCAUGCCGCGUGUGUGAAGAAGGUCUUCGGAUUGUAAAGCACUUUAAGUCGGGAGGCGUUACCAACAGAAUAAGCACCGGCUAACUUCGUGCCAGCAGCCGCGGUAAUAC
rnacentral:rRNA from 1 species